UGCAACUAGAGUGGCAGGACUCUCACCUUAUCUAGGUAAAUCAAAACAUGGUUGUUGCUGACUUCUGUUCGGCUCACAUCAUCAGAUCUUUCAAGCUGAAGAACAUGAAGACAUUGCAAAUGUUAAUAAACAGAAGAAAGCCCCUGGGAAACCCAGAGAAAAGAAGAAUUUUUAUUACCAAAUUAUAUUAAGCAUGAGGAUAAUAUUUCUUCUAAUAUUUUUUUGACUUUUCAGGGCGAAUGGUUACUAUGAACCCUCUGUUCUCAUCUGCUCCAAGAGUCUCACCUGGAGGUAGACACACCCUUUUCCUGUUGCUGUCAUGCUGUAAUCUCCAGGCACCUUUGGCAAUGAAAUCUGCUGCAGUAACAAGCGGUUGUCGUUGUCCACUUGGAAAUUUGUGGAAAAUGUCCCUGAAGAUUGAAU